UUGAUCUUAGAGAUCGAAAACACGAGAAAGGUGUACGUCCUGAAGACAAAGAUUGCACCUCCCGAUGAUUGACAACUCUAUUUGUGAUUUGGAGAAACUGACUGGAAAAUGGGCAUUCAAAGUAGAUAUCCAGCAGAGAAUGACCAGUCUGCGUAUCCAUGACAACUGAACCAGAAACAUGUUCCAUGUGUGAAAGGACGUCGUCUUCGAAGCGGAAGGGUCACUUCUAAAUUCAUUUUGCAAAGUGGAUGAAUGUGGAUAAGUGCUUCCAUUUUAUUCCACUUAAAAUGAUUUAGUUUUCAAAAAAUGAAAUUCAUCUACAUAUUAAGUCAUUAACCGAAUUGAAUAAAUGUAAUCAGUACGUACUUAUUCAUCUCUCAUAUGCACUUUAUUUUUUCCAAAUAAAUAUUUUUAAAGAAAUUGAGCAUUGGUCACCCAUCGCAAUGAUUCUGGCAAAUAUUUCAAUAAAAAACUCAAAUUUCUCGCCUUCUCUCUCAUUAUUCGUUUUCGUACCCGUAGUAUCUCAUUCAAAAUUCAUCGUUUUUCGUUUUCAAAACGUAAAACCGCUACCCUAGCUAAUUCAUCUCAUUUUACUCCUCCCUAUCGGCUGGCUCCUUCUGCUUUGUUGUUGUUUACUGCAUCUCUUACUCUCUAUGUUUCUCUCUUUCUCUAAAUCUCUUCAAAGUCCUGUACUCUCUAAUGGGCUCGCGGAAGAGCCCCCGCAAGCCAAAUAUGGAACAGAAAGUGAGAAAUGGAAGAAAUUCAGAAAGAGACAGCAAGAAGAAGUGAGUCAAUUUGAAACACACCCACAUCCUUUCUUUUUGCAUUUUUUUUCUUUUGCGAAAAUUUGCUUUUUAGUAGGGCAAUGUGUGUCACUUUUCAUUAAAAUAUCCAUCUGUCAUUUUCUCUCCUAUUUUGUCAUUUUUAAGAUAUUGAUAUGCCAUCGUACAUCAUUGAAGCUUUGAUAUUUCUGUGAUUUUUCAAUGCAAUUUUAUUUGAUCGAUUAUCAAUAAAUUGAAGCAUAUUAUUUAUUUGCAAAUGAUACUCAAAAAGAUAACUUCAUGCAUGAGAUAAACCACACCUAACUUUUUAUCACUUGAACUAGUUAUCCGAUCGGAUAAACUUAUCAUAUCGUGAGUAUAUAAAGCAUUCUAUUAUAAACACAUUUUACACAUUUUAUUUGUUUUAGAUAUUUUGUAUGUUUUCUUAUCAAGCUAUAAUUUUGCUUUCACUUUUAAAAAUGAAAUGUACAUUUUUAAAAAGUAUCUCUCUUUUAAAUUACUGCCAAAAUGGAAGCUCUGUUUUUUUUUACAUUUUAAACAUAAAUAUUGUUGGACUUACUAAAUCUUAUGACGGCAUUUUCAGCCAUGUAAUGAGUUUCCAAAAACUGAUUGAAGUAGCUAAUGUUCUCAGUUUCCAGGAAAUUACAAUAUUCAGUAACUUAGUUCAGUAACUUAGUUUUUUUUCUAAAAAAUCUAUAUUUUUAGUUUGAAAAAAUCUACACAGAAGACCUGACCAAUAAUUUGCCGGCCACCAACUAGUAGGAAAGGUUCUUCGCAACGCCUGUUUAUUUAUAUUAUGCGUGUGCCCCUCUCCCUCUCCCUCAACCUCAUACUUCACUUCUCUAAUCCUCUAUGAAUUUAUUUCUCCAGGCGGUACAUAUACUCAUAUCCUUUCUCCUUUCUGUUCAUCCUUUCUGUUCAUCCGAUGCCUCUCUCCUUUUUUCCGAUUCUCCCUGAUCAUCGUUUGGUGAGGUCGCCACCCUCACCGUUAUUAUGUACAAGUUGUAUGAACAUGCCCGGUUUGGGAGGUGAUGGUAAUCCAUCCGUUUCACGGAAACUCACUUUCAUUUUGUACUUUCUGUAGUUUUUCGUUGUUGUCUCUGUAUUAAGCUGAUGACUUUGGAAAUUCAAAAAAAACUAGGGACUCAGUUUGGAGUGCAUUUCAAUUUGAAAAACGUCGAUUUUAAGUUCUUUCAUCGUUUUUCCCUAUAUUAGCUUUGCAUCCCAUUACCAAAUUUUAACAAGUCAUAUUUUUGUUACCAUUUGUUUUUUUAAGUGUCAACUAAUAAAGUAUGUAUAAUUUCUUUCUUUAUAGUUUUGUUUUUAAUUAUUUAUUGAUAUAUCUUCGAAAUAAAAAUAACCUUUUAAAAUGAAGUGAAAGUGUGAACUACUAAUCAAAAAUGAGGUAUGUGUCUAGAUUUCAAGAGCACGAAAGAUAUUGGUGAAGCAAUUUUUAAAAAUUAUUCUAGUUCAAUACCAACAUUUUUCUUGAUGUUCCACAUUUCGAACUCUUUCCCUAUCUCUCUCUCUCUCCUUCUGCGCUUAAAUUCUCCAAAUUCUCAUGUUCUGUAAUUAGCGGUCUUGUCGUGGUCAUCACAAUUACACGGAAAACUAUUUGUUUGUGUUAUGUAAUGUGUAUGUUCUCGCCAUAAAACAAGAAAUGAAACCUGAAAAACGAGCAGAAACAAUUGGCUUACUGCCUAUUACGUGUGUGUGUGCCCGUUCCGCGUCCCUCUCAUUUCCGCCCAACUCCGCCUACUUUCGUCUCUUUUCGAUCACUUUUCCGCAUCAUUUUGAUCACUUUUACAAACACAUUCAUGCCCGUAGUCCACCACCAUCAUCGCUUAACUCUUGAAAUUUCUGAUUGGUCAUUGAAUUUUGUCUUGGAACUUCCAUCAUUGAACACCAAUCCAAUUUAGACUUUUCCUUGUAUUUAUAUGCCUAUCGCCUGAAUUUCUCUGAUCUAGAUGCUACCCAAAACAGACUUUUUCCCAUUUCGUGUCACUCCUUUUUUGUGGGUCACAACUAAUAAAUCAUGUUGCUCGUCGGUUUCUCGGAGCACACUCCAUCCUUUUCCUUCUCAUCAAUUCAAUGUGAAUCGACAUGCUUCUUCUUUUUUCUUCAGAUUUCUUCACUACCGUCGUCACUUUUCGUUUUUUUUUCUUUUUCAACCACUUGAAAAUGUGAAAAUGUGCACUAGAAGUUUAUGAGCUCUUGUAACCGAACACAGGCUCGUUUGUGAAAAUGUGAAAUGGAAUGAUGUUGGAAGAAAGAAAAGAACAAAUCAUGAGCUCCGGGUGAUGGAAUUCAAACAUUUUUCCACAAAUCUUAUUGGCUUUAGUCAGAAUUCUUCGUUCGUUAUUCUGUAGAGUGACCCGAGUCAGACAAGCUUAAUGAAAUCAUCAAUAUUCAUUAUAAACAAAUUGUUUUAAUUUAUUUAAAGAUCAUUCUUUAUAUUAUCAGAAAACAAGCUCUGAGUUUUUAAUAACCAUUUAUUCAAACCUCCAAAUAUUCAAUAAAUUGGGCUUAAUUUCU
ensembl:lincRNA linc-133 ncRNA